GCCUUUGGGUUGUAAACCUCUUUUAUCAAGGAGGAAGUUCUGACGUGUACUUGAUGAAUAAGCAUCGGCUAACUCCGUGCCAGCAGCCGCGGUAAGACGGAGGAUGCAAGUGUUAUCCGGAAUCACUGGGCGUAAAGCGUCUGUAGGUGGUUUAAAAAGUCUACUGUUAAAAAUUGAAGCUUAACUUCAAAGAUGCCGUAGAAACUUUUAAACUCGAGGAUGGUAGGGGUAGAGGGAAUUUCCAGUGGAGCGGUGAAAUGCGUAGAUCUUGGAAAGACCACCAAUGGCGAAGGCACUCUACUGGGCCAUUACUGACACUAAGAGACGAAAGCUAGGGGAGCAAAUGGGAUUAGAUACCCCAGUAGUCCUAGCUGUAAACGAUGGAUACUAGAUGUUGUGUGUAUUGACCCAUGCAGUAUCGUAGCUAACGCGUUAAGUAUCCCGCCUGGGAAGUAUGCUCGCAAGAGUGAAACUCAGAGGAAUUGACGG
rnacentral:rRNA from 1 species